rnacentral:rRNA from 1 species
UACGUAGGUGGCAAGCGUUGUCCGGAUUUACUGGGCGUAAAGGGCGUGCAGGCGGUCUGUUAAGUUCAGGGUGAAAGCUCCCGGCUCAACUGGGAGAGGUCCUUGGAUACUGGCAGACUUGAGGAGGGUAGAGGAGAGUGGAAUUCCCGGUGUAGUGGUGAUAUGCGUAGAUAUCUGGAGGAACACCGGUGGCGAAGGCGGCAUCCUGGACCGGCAUUGACGCUGAGGAGCGAAAGCCAGGGGAGCAAACGGG